rnacentral:rRNA from 1 species
UAAGGAAUACUGGUCAAUGGACGCAAGUCUGAACCAGCCAUGCCGCGUGGAGGAUGAAGGUCCUCUGGAUUGUAAACUUCUUUUAUCUGGGACGAAACACUUCUUUUCUAAGAGGCCUGACGGUACCAGAUGAAUAAGCACCGGCUAACUCCGUGCCAGCAGCCGCGGUAAUACGGAGGGUGCAAGCGUUAUCCGGAUUCACUGGGUUUAAAGGGUGCGUAGGUGGGUAUGUAAGUCAGUGGUGAAAUCCCCGAGCUUAACUUGGGAACUGCCAUUGAUACUAUAUAUCUUGAAUACCGUAGAGGUAAGCGGAAUAUGUCAUGUAGCGGUGAAAUGCUUAGAUAUGACAUGGAACACCAAUUGCGAAGGCAGCUUACUAUGCGGUGAUUGACACUGAGGCACGAAAGCGUGGGUAGCAAACA